rnacentral:rRNA from 1 species
UACGUAGGGGGCAAGCGUUAUCCGGAUUUACUGGGUGUAAAGGGGGCGCAGACGGCAGCGCAAGCCAGGAGUGAAAGCCCGGGGCCCAACCCCGGGACUGCUCUUGGAACUGCGCGGCUGGAGUGCAGGAGGGGCAGGCGGAAUUCCUGGUGUAGCGGUGAAAUGCGUAGAUAUCAGGAGGAACACCGGUGGCGAAGGCGGCCUUCUGGACUGCGACUGACGUUGAGGCCCGAAAGCGUGGGGAGCAAACAGG